rnacentral:rRNA from 1 species
UCUUGCAAACUAAAGAUGGCGACCGGCGCACGGGUGAGUAACACGUAUCCAACCUGCCGAUAACUCGGGGAUAGCCUUUCGAAAGAAAGAUUAAUAUCCGAUAGUGUAUUAAAACCGCAUGGUUUUACUAUUAAAGAAUUUCGGUUAUCGAUGGGGAUGCGUUCCAUUAGUUUGUUGGCGGGGUAACGGCCCACCAAGACUACGAUGGAUAGGGGUUCUGAGAGGAAGGUCCCCCACAUUGGAACUGAGACACGGUCCAA